rnacentral:rRNA from 1 species
AUGCCGUCCAGCACCGCGCGCCAGGCUGGCGUCAAGCACGCCAUCGCCAUGACCAUCCCCAAGCGUUGUGCCAUCGCCAACCGCCCCAUCGGCUACAAAUACGGCCGUAAGUUUAUUAGUUCUGAACUUCUGAUGCUCGGUCGUUUCCUCUGUAGCAACUCUGUCCCUUGGAGCCAUCGUCAUUUGCUUUGCUCUGCUUUUGUUGUGCAGCAUACACCCUGCCAUGAGGAGCAGAGGCACCAUCCGCCGCUGCGCUGCUUACCAACCUCUUCUCUGAAGUCCCAGCAGCAGCGGUGGUGCUCUUCUUCUUCUUCUUACUGCCGUGGCCGUGCUCCUGCUUGGAGUAGCCGGAGAAUGCCGAGUCUUUGGUGCUGCUAG